ACAUUACCAUUAUCGGUUCACUUGGCACCCUUCUUGGCAGCAGCUUUGGUCACCUUGGCACCGGUUGGAUCCUUCUUGUCCACAUUCUUGAUGACUCCAACAGCAACAGUCUGACGCAUAUCCCUAACAGCAAAACGACCAAGAGGUGGGUACUCAGAGAAAGUCUCCACCACCAUGGGCUUGGUUGGAAUCAUCUUAACAAUACCAGCAUCACCAUUCUUCAAAAACUUGGGCUCCUUCUCAAGCUCCUUACCAGAUCGCCUGUCAAUCUUAGUUUGGAGUUCAGCAAACUUAACAGCAAUGUGAGAGGUGUGGCAAUCAAGCACAGGAGCAUAUCCAUUUCCAAUCUGACCAGGAUGGUUCAUGAUGAUGACCUGCGAGGUAAAGCUAGCAGCUCCCUUAGCAGGAUCAUCCUUGGAGUUGGAAGCCACAUAACCACGCUUGAGAUCCUUGACAGCAACAUUCUUGACAUUGAACCCAACAUUAUCACCAGGGAGAGCCUCCUGAAGGGCUUCGUGGUGCAUCUCAACAGACUUAACUUCAGUGGUCAAGCCAGAGGGACCAAAAGUAACAACCAUACCUGGCUUCAGGACACCAGUCUCCACACGACCCACCGGGACAGUACCAAUACCACCAAUCUUGUAGACAUCCUGAAGUGGGAGACGAAGAGGCUUGUCCGAGGGCCUCUUGGGCUCCAGAAUCUGGU
rnacentral:lncRNA from 1 species